AACGUAGGAGACAAACGUUAUCCGGAGUUACUGGGCGUAAAGGGCGUGUAGGUGGUUUCGUAAGUCUGGCGUGAAAUUUUUCGGCUUAACCGGGAAAGGUCGUCGGAUACUGCAGAACUAGAGGACGGUAGAGGCGUGUGGAAUUCCGGGUGUAGUGGUGAAAUGCGUAGAUAUCAGGAGGAACACCAAUGGCGAAGGCAGCUCGCUGGGACGGUACUGACGCUGAGGCGCGAAGC
rnacentral:rRNA from 1 species